rnacentral:misc_RNA from 1 species
AAGUCGUAACAAGGUCUCCGUAGGUGAACCUGCGGAGGGAUCAUUAACACGUUUUUUAAACGUUUUUCAACCAAAAAACCGGAAACGAAAAAGUGUUGAAAAGUCAACAAUGGCAUUCAUUUGCCCUGUUUUCUUUUCCCUUUUUUUCUUCUCAACCCUUUUCCAAUCAUAACAAUGAAUUGACCUGUACUAUCAUUCCUCUUCACCCAGUGAAUGAAAGUUGAUAUCAUAAUUGAGAGCACAACUCUUAGCAACGGAUAUCUUGGUUCUC